GUGGCUCAGUGAUAGAGCAUCUGCUUGGCGUGCUUUGGGUUCCAGGUUCAAUCCCUGGCAUCUCCA
rnacentral:tRNA from 1 species